UAUGAAAGGCAAAAUGAGGGUCUACCUGUCUCUUAUAAUAAAUCAAUUAAACUGAUCUCCUAGUAAAAAAGCUAGAAUACCCACAUAAGACCAGAAGACCCUGUGAAGCUUAAACUAAAAUAUUAAACCUUAUAAUAUCUACUUUCGGUUGGGGCGACCUUGGAAAAAAAAAGAACUUCCAAACACAUGACCUUACUCACACACCCAGGCUAACAAGCCUAACACGACCCAGUAUAACUGAUAAUUGAACCAAGUUACUCCAGGGAUAACAGCGCCAUCUUCUUCAAGAGCCCAUAUCAAAAAGAAGGUUUACGACCUCGAUGUUGGAUCAGGACAUCCUAAUGGUGCA
rnacentral:rRNA from 1 species